GACGAACGCUGGCGGCGUGCUUAACACAUGCAAGUCGAACGGAAAGGCCCUGCUUUUGUUGGGUGCUCGAGUGGCGAACGGGUGAGUAACACGUGAGUAACCUUCCCUUGACUUUGGGAUAACUUCAGGAAACUGGGGCUAAUACCGCAUAGGAGCUCCUGCUGCAUGGUGGGGGUUGGAAAUUUUCGGCGGUUGGGGUUGGACUCGCGGCUUAUCAUCUUGUUGGUGGGGUAGUGGCUUACCAAGUCUUUGACGGGUAGCCGGCCUGAGAGGGUGACCGGCCACAUUGGGACUGAGAUACGGCCCAGACUCCUACGGGAGGCAGCAGUGGGGAAUAUUGCACAAUGGGCGGAAGCCUGAUGCAGCAACGCCGCGUGCGGGAUGACGGCCUUCGGGUUGUACACCGCUUUCGCCUGUGACGAAGCGUGAGUGACGGUAAUGGGUAAAGAAGCACCGGCUAACUACGUG
rnacentral:rRNA from 1 species